UACGUAGGGUGCAAGCGUUAAUCGGAAUUAUUGGGCGUAAAGGGUGCGUAGGCGGUUCGUUAAGUCUGUUGUGAAAUCCCCGAGCUCAACUUGGGAAUUGCAGUGGAUACUGGCAAGCUAGAGUAUGGUAGAGGAAGGUGGAAUUCCCGGUGUAGCAGUGAAAUGCGUAGAGAUCGGGAGGAACACCAGUGGCGAAGGCGGCCUGCUGGACCAAUACUGACGCUCAUGCACGAAAGCGUGGGGAGCAAACAGG
rnacentral:rRNA from 1 species